rnacentral:sRNA from 12 species
GGACCACUUUCCGCUUUUACGGUCGGGAAGGCAGCCCAUACGGACAGGCGGGUCGGACGCCGA